rnacentral:rRNA from 1 species
AUGGCACCACCAGGAGUGGAGCCUGCGGCUUAAUUUGACUCAACACGGGAAAACUUACCCGGCCCGGACACUGGAAGGAUUGACAGAUUGAGAGCUCUUUCUUGAUUCAGUGGGUGGUGGUGCAUGGCCGUUCUUAGUUGGUGGAGCGAUUUGUCUGGUUAAUUCCGAUAACGAACGAGACUCUAGCCUACUAAAUAGAUCGCCGGUUUACAAACACCGGUGAGACUUCUUAGAGGGACAGGCGGCGAUUCAGCCGCACGAAACAGAGCAAUAACAGGUCUGUGAUGCCCUUAGAUGUCCGGGGCCGCACGCGCGCUACACUGAAGUGAUCAGCGUGCAUUUUAAGCCUACUCUGCCAAGAGUGGGAAACCCAAUGAACCUUCUUCGUGAUUGGGAUAGGGGAUUGUAAUUAUUCCCCUUGAACGAGGAAUUCCCAGUAAGCGCGAGUCAUAAGCUCGCGUUGAUUACGUCCCUGCCCUUUGUACACACCGCCCGUCGCUACUACCGAUUGAAUGUUUU